rnacentral:lncRNA from 1 species
AUAUAUAUAUAUAUAUAUAUAUAUAUAUAUAGAGAGAGAGAGAGAGAGAGAGAGAGAGAGAGCAUGGUUGCUGUGCUCUCAGGAGCACGGAGGCUUCCAUGCUCCUGAGCCGUUUUCGAUGAUGAAAUUUUCGAAUCGACAAUCGGCUCCGUUAGACUUGAUCUGGUUCAUUUGAAGUUUCUAAAAAAUAAUUUUUGUAAUUUUUUGAUAUCAUUCACCUAGUGAUCGAAAUGAUUCAAAAUCCAUAAUUUUUAAUGGUUGAUAUCUGCCGUUUUCAAGUUUAACGAUGUAGAAGUAUUCAAAUCAGAUAAAAUUUUAAUACAAAAUUUUUUAUACUAUCUAUAACAAGAUCAAUAUUUCUAAUUUAAAAUUUUAGUGCUAUAUCACCACUUUUUAUAGAAUUUUUAUUUUCAACCGUUAAAAAUUAUUGAUUUUGAAUCAUUUCGAUUGUUAGGUAAAUAAUAUUGAAAAAUCGUAAAAAUUAUUUUCUAGAAACUUCAAUAUGCUAGAUCAAGUUUAACGGAGCCGAUCGUCGAUUCGAAAACUCCAUCAUCGAAAACGGCUCAGGAGCACGGAGGCACGGAGGCCUCCAUGCUCCUGAGUG